rnacentral:lncRNA from 1 species
CUUACCGAAGGCGGGCUCCCUGUUGUCCAAUGCGGAUCACAGGCCCACUACAUUUAGCGGAAGUGGAAAAAAAAAACACCCACGCAGCCCCACUUCGGGACACACCUGCAGCCCAGCGGACAGCCCACCAGCCUCCAAACAGUUCUGCGAAAAAUUAGGCUAUCUUUCAUUAGCUAUCUAUCAUGCGGCCUCCACCAGGCUGCAGGAUAUGAGGGCCAUUUAAUUAGGCCCUGCACCACUCUCGGGUGUGAAAAGGCUCUCAAACGCUUUGAUUCCCCGCUGCUUCGCAGCAGGAAGUUGUUGGCGAUAAUUGACAUAGGAUUUCCUUGUUAACCAGCAGCAGACACGCCGGAUUAAAGCGACAGAGAUCUCGAGAAGAAAGUGAAAGAGAUAAGAAGCUCGGAAGACUUCUGCUUAUUUGGCACUUGAGGAUGGCAGGAAACAGCAAUAACCUACUCAAGUGGCGACUCUAGAGUGGAAGGGCGUCCCCUUAUCAGACCUAUUUCAGCUUGGCUGAUCAAAGAUUGACUCCCCGCAAAAUCACAUAGGCCUGGGGUUUGUUAGUUUAUUAAGCAGCAGGUUUUAGGAAUUAUCACAGGUUUAAAGAUGGAUUGCAGUUUAUGUGAAGGGGGAGAGGAUUAUCGGGUUUUCAUCUUAACAAUUAUAAAAUAUCACAGCUGAAAGCUUGCUUGCAAAUGACAUAAUUUUCCACUGCCAACUAAACAGGUCAUUGUGAGGCUGCCUGUGAGCGCACUCAACGAGGGAGGAAAUACAGGCAAAUUAACUCUGGGGAGGACCGGGGAUGAGGGGCCUCCACGCCUUGUUCCACUUCGGAAGACGGUGCGAUCUCAUUUUGCCCUGUGCGAUUCCUUAGAAGAUACUCAGCUAGAAGAUUCCUCUGUGAGGCUGCUAGUACUUCUCCAGCAGACCAAGCCAGGAGAGCUUUCUCAAAGAUUCUACCAGAUUUUCCAGGGGUUCUCAAAGAUUGUCUGCAAACCAGCUCUGAUAAAUGAUUGCAGCUUCUUGAGUCUAUAGAGAGAGACCUUUAUGCUCUCUCUACUAGGAAAAUGUUGAAGACAAUAUAUAAAUUUCUGAAAAGAUUUGAAUGAUUUGAUUUGGCAAAAUAAAGAAUUGCCAAUCCUACAUAGAGCUCCAUACACCAAUUUUUAAAAAUAAUUUUAUUGCUUCACAAAAUCUGGGAACCACUGGAUAUAUGAAGUAUCUCUUUUAGCUAAAGCAAAGUCAACUCUCACCCUCGAAAAAAGUUCAUUUUUUGAUCUGUUUUUAUUUUUCUGUGGCAAAAAGUGCUUUUGUGAUGCCUCUAUGAAUAAAAGACUCAUUUUCCUAAGUGAUGCAUCUGCUUUUAAUGUCUUAAAUGCUGGGAUAGAACAGACAUAUCUUCCCUGGUCUGGGUUUUCUUAAAUAGCCAGAAGUCUUCGUGAUGAAGACAAGCAAGCAUCUAAUAGAGAAAUAACUCCAAGACAAAGUGCCGUGGCUGCACGAUGUCGCCUCCCUGACAACCUAUAAAUGGACCAUAUUGAUGAAGUGAACAGGACUCUCUCUGGUCAUUUUCAACUAGAAACUAAUAAUCCCCGUCAUGAUAUCAGGCAUGCAAUAACCUCGGUUAAGACUAGGUUCAUCAAAUAAAUCACUCAGGAAUUUCUCUAUUUCUUUCUCUGGACACAUUGCACAUCUGCUCAAUGAAAGGAAGAAAGAAGCAAUAUUUCUUUGAUCAGGAAUUUUUUUUUAAUAUUCUUGUAUCCAUCCCUUGGGAUACUAUCUUUUCAAGUGGGUGCAGAUAAUACAUCACUUUCUAAUGAAUGUGGAGAAUUUAUGAAUUUAAGCUAUAAAACCAAAUAUGAGGGAUUUUAGUUUAUCUCAAUCUAUAUUUUACACUGUCAUGAGAAAAUAAACCGGACCACA